rnacentral:rRNA from 1 species
UACGUAGGGGGCUAGCGUUGUCCGGAAUCAUUGGGCGUAAAGCGCGUGUAGGCGGUCCGGUAAGUCCGCUGUGAAAGUCGGGGGCUCAACCCUCGGAUGCCGGUGGAUACUGUCGGGCUUGAGUACGGAAGAGGCUAAUGGAAUUCCGGGUGUAGCGGUGGAAUGCGUAGAGAUCCGGAAGAACACCGGUGGCGAAGGCGGCCACCUGGACGGUAACUGACGCUGAGACGCGAAAGCGUGGGGAGCAAACAGG